GGUGCCUGGGGCGGGCGUUUCGACUUUUCUGUUUUGGGGCUGCUCCUUCAGGCUUCGGUGUGAUGUAACUCAAACUGUGCCUACCUUCUCAGCGCGUUAACCAAGUCAGGAAUUUUACACCUUACCCUGAGGAGUUAGGAAGAGGCGCACAAAACUGAUUCCAUCACUGUACGAAAAUUCAGGUUUCAUUCGGGAAGAAGCCCUUCCCACCCACGGAGACAAGCAGAGUGAAGGCACAGGCAUUCUGAGGCAGUGCUCGCAGAAAACCCAUCGCAGAAAAUCCACAAAUAUUAAGCAGCAGUUUGGCCUCUGGCCCUUGAGCUGCCAGCAACACGCUGCACUCGCUGCUCCCUGUCACACGGCGGCAUUGGAGGAGCAGUUUGCGAAACCUGGGCUGAUUUCAAAGCCCCAAAAACAUCUCUUUGCCAAUCAGACCCCGCAGCCUUUUGGCACUUUUGAGGUGGAAAGGCGGUGCCAGGUCUGGGUGAUUUUGUUUCAGUCUCAGCCGGCACUGGGGACACUGUGUGAGAACGCCUUGACAACGUCAAUUCUGAGAGAAAAAGCAUCCCUGCUUGGCUGGUGUUUCCCUGCAAGCAGAAGAGCCCAGGCCCGAGGCUGCCUGGCGUUUGUGUGACCCACAAACCCCCUUCGGCGCUGGUGUCACCUGCCCUGGGCACAGUCACCACAGCUGCCCAGAGCCAGGAGCGUCCAGCUGAGGCGUCCAGCAGGAUGCAGCUCUUGUUUUCAAGGAGGCAUGAAAUUGGAACGUGACCAUGCCCACAGUGCAUUGUGGGUCGAGUUCAAGGAACUGCUGAAAUGACAAGUUGCAGCAGCAACUUGCCUUUGUGUGUAGAACCAGCUGUAAUGCUGGCAGCCGCUUGUGAGCUGAGAAAAGAACAUCAGGAGCCUGGAAACAACUCCCAGAAAUUUGUUAAAAAAAUGGGACGGACUUCUUUCCCCAAGUGUCUGAAAAACUCUUCUGGCUUUACUUUAUAAAUUGAAAACUGAAGUGCUUGCAAAGGUGUUGGCAUUUGCUUUAAUGUAUUCUUGGUGAGGUUUUGAUUCCGUGCUGUUAUUGGAGCUGCUGUUGGCUGGAACGGGUGUUCCCAAUUCGCCUGUAAGGACAUGGCUUCAUUCCCUGCUUCUCACAGCCUGUACAGUAGAUGGAAUUCCAGUGGUACCUCAUAGAUGGCUUGUGGUGUUCCUUAAAGGAGCGUUUCUGCCUGCAGUGACAGUUCUGGUCCCUCAUGAGCUGGUGUGAGGGUCUGCAGCAGCAGGUUUGGAACGAUGUUCCUGCGGCACAGAUUCCUCCCUGGCAGGUUAUCGGGCCUGAGGCAUUGGCUGACAGUAGCAAAGCACUGACAGGGUCUUAGUUGUGCAAAAUACUUCAUUGGAAAUCCAGUCUGGGGAUGUUGUGGCUCCAGAAAGAGCUCUGUGACCCUUUCCAUGCCCUGUGCUGGCAUGGCACAGCAGGCCCUGGGGCUCAAGCAGAUCCACGGCUUGUUCCAAAGGGACAGUGAACUGGUACAAUGUGCACUGGACGGAGGAAGUUGGAUGUGAAGAUUUGGGUCAUUCUGGAAAGUUCCUUGAGCCCUAAGAAUCUUGGCAAGUGUAGCACUAAAAACUCCAAAUUAGGAAUAAUCAAAAGAUGAACCAGUUCUCAACAAACUCAACUUUCAAAAUUAUUUUUCAAGAUAAAAUAAGAUUAAAAUGAGCUUGGCAGAAAAGCCCCCAUGAAGCAAAGCACAAUGAAAAUACCUGUGAGCAGAAACAGUAUGGCAUUCCUGCUGCUCCUGAUGCCCUGGUCUUUUCAGGCAGGUUUUGUAUGGAAUUGAAAGGCAGCUUUCUUGCCUCUGGUGAGCUGCAGCCACAUCCCCAUUGAAGAAGAAAAUGUGGAGGGAGUGCCAAGCAGGAAGAUGGCUUUUAGGCCACUGCAACAGUUGCUGCAAAAGAAGGAAAAGGAAUCCAGUGACCUGGAAUUGGAUGCCCCAAGCCCCUGCCGAGCACAGGGCUUGCUGCUUGAUGUUUUUUCUCUGCAGUGCUUGUCCUGUACUGUCUUCAGGGAUUGUUCCUGGCUGUUCUGUCCCAAAUAAUGCUGGAGGAAGAGGCCAAAGCUCCCACUGUGGCUGUGGAGGAUUUGCCUGCAGUGACUUGCUGGUGGAGCAAGGACCUGUUGCUGCAAAGGGAGCAUAGCUGGAUGAAUCCUCUCCAGUCACCAGGCAUUGUCCCCAGAUGUCCCACUCUGCUGCUGUACCUUGGAACAGUCAUUUAAUUUGACCCAGCUGUGCCAAAACCUUUGGUUUUGGUUGGGUUUGAGCAGCCAAACCCUAGAGCCUCCAGCCCUGAUGGCCUGUGCUGGAGGACACCUGGUCCUGCACAUGCUGUGGGGUAUUCCCUGAUGUUGUUUCACCUGCCUGAAUUCCUUGCAGCUCCGAGCUGAGAAAACCUGGCAUAACUCAGAGGGGAGAGAGGUGACACCUUUGGCUGAAAACCUGCUUUCAUUUAGAAGGGACCCAACAUGUGUUUGUGUAGGAAAAUGUGAGGGGAUGUGGAGGGGAGCGAGGUGGCAUUUUGAGGGAGUCACUUAGGAGAGAGAACGCAGAUUUUGGGGCAGAAAGGAGGAAAUCAGUAGUGUACAGGAAAGAAAGUUUGGGAGGUAAAACAUGGAGUAAUCUUUAGGAUAGAGAAUGAUCAACUUAUUGUAAAAAAUGAGAGCAUGAGUAAAGAAGGGAAAUUUAUGGGGAAAAGCUUGAGGUACUUUCUGGGGGAGAGAAUGAAUAUUUUGAGGGAAAGAUGAUGUAAUCAGAAGUGGCACGCAGGGAAUAAUUUGGGAGUAAACUUGAGGUACUCUAUAUUGGCAGAGAAUGGAGAUUUUGAGGGGAAAAUGAGCUAAUCAGAAGUGGACAGAGAGGGAAUAGUUUGGGGGUAAAACCUGGGCAAUCUCUAGGGGAGAGAAUUAACAUCUUGAGGUAAACUGAGGUAUAAGUAGUGCAAAGGUAGCGAUAUACUGGGGGGUAAAACUUGAGAUACUCAUCUCCAGGGCAGAGAAUAAAUACUUUGAGGUAAAACUGUGGUAAAUCAGUAGUGGACAGCUAGCAAAAAUCUUGGUGAAGUUUGUGAUAACUUCUAGCAGAGUAAAUGAAAGUUUUGAGUUGAGUUAGGUAAUCAGUAGUACACAUUAGGGAAGUAUUUGUGCCUAAAAACUGAGAUAACCUCCAGGGCAGAGAAUGAACACUUUGAGGUGAACAGACGGAAUCAGUAGUGGACAGGCACAGAAAACUUUAGGGGUAAAAUUGAGGUAAUCUGUAGAGGAGAGAAAACAACAUUUCCAGGUAAAUAUGAGGUAAAAAGUACUGGACAGGUAGGGAAAAUUUCAGGGAAAAAUCAUGAGGUAAUCCAUAGUGGAUAGAAUGAAUAUUUGGGAUAGGAUAGAGGUAAUUGGUGGGGGGUUUUGGUGGAAAAAUAGAAAUAAUCUAUAGGAACAAAAGGAAUGUUUUGGAGUUCAAAUGUGAGUUAACCUGUAGAGGAGAGACUGCAAAUCCUGAGGUAAAAAUGAGGUGGUCAUUAGCAGAUAGGCAUGGAAAAAUUUGGGAUUAAAAUUUGAGGUCACAUAGGGGAGGGAAUGAGCACUGUGAGGUCAAAUGAGGUAAUUAAUAGGAGCAGGUAGGAAAAAGAGAUAAUCAGUAGUGUACUGGUAAGGUGAAGUUUUGGCUUUAAAAAUCGAGAUAAUCUGUAAGGAACAAAGAACAUUUGGGUGAAUAACCUGAACUAAUCUGUAAGGCACAGAAUGAAUACUUUAGGACUGAGGAUAGAGGUAGAUACUGGGGGGUUUGGUGCUAAAAUCUAAGUCAUCCAUAGGGGACAGGAUUAACAUUUUGAGGGUAAAACUUGAGGUAAUUUGUAAUGGACUGAAUGAACAUUUUGAGGGAAAAAGGAGGCUGUCAGUGGUGAAAAUGUCAGGAUAAUUUUGGGGUAAAACUUGAGCUGCUCUGUGAAGUACAAUGAAUAUUUUGGUGGGGGGGGGAAAUGUCAGGCCGUCUGUAGGGGCCAGUCCUAGUCUGUGCCCUCAGCAGUGGGGGGAAUAAUUCCUCCCUGGAGAGCACUGUCUGGCAGAGGGGUCACACACAGGGUCUGGCUUUUCUCUUGUGCUCAGUCCAGCAGUCUCUGGAUGUCACAGCUCCCCACGCCGGGGUCUGUCCUGUAAAUGUGCUCAAACAGGGUUUAACCGCACUGGCCCAAGCUGUGCCGGCACAGACUGGGGCCAGAGGUGAAGGUCAAUCCAAAACAAAUCCUGCUCGACCUCUAAAUCCCAGGCUAAGUUCUACAAACUGCCAAGUGAGGGAAUAAAAACACAAAAACAUGGAACCAAGAGCAUGAUGAGGUUCCUGGGAAUCCAUUGCAUUGUUUUCAUAGACUUUUUCACAGGUUUUGAAGCUUUUUAUGCCAACAAUGCAUUUCCUCCUUUAGGGAGGUUAUUCACUCUGUAGGAUUCGGGGUUUAUGGGGAUUUCAGCUCCCACACGGUGGCCCUGACGCUGCCCAGGAGCUGGUAGGAAAAGCAGUCAGAGCUCCUGACACGUGCAGGUGUUUUCCCUCAGACUGGACAGUGGGAUCUGCUUUGGGUCCUUACGGAACCUGCUGGAAGUAGAGAAGCAGAACCCCAAAUCUCCACACUGGGUGGAGUUGUGGAACCUAAACCGGCACAAAGAGAUGCUCCAAAAUGACCCGUGAGAGAACAGGACCAAAAAAGGGUCACUGUCACUAUGGUAAGGCAAAAGGAAUUGGACCUAUAGCCCAGGAUUCCAUGCUGAGCCUGGAAGAGCCUCUCAGUGCUUCAUGGAGCAUGGAUAUUCCCAUGCAGAGCUGCUGCUUUUACACAGGUUUGUCAGGAACAAACAAGCAUCAAUCCAGAGAAGUUCAGUGGGAUCAGGACAAGGACAUGUCUGUAUUCCAUAGAAUUUUAUUCAUAACCCUCGUCCCCCAGCCCUGCUGGUGUCCUUGUGGGGGAUUUUACUGCGUUCCUUGGAAUUGAGCUGGUUCUCACCCACUCUGAGGUCAGGCUCCAGCUGAUAUUUUAAAGCAGGAGAAGGCGGUGGCCAGAUGCGCUCCUGGCCCGUGCUGAGGCAUCUUCUGUGCCCAGGUGAGGACAUCCCUGAUUUUGGGUGUGUUUUGGGUAUCAUCAGUGUGAUGCUUUGUGCAGACCCUGCAAGUGCUGUCCUGCUCCCAGUCCAAGCAGGUUCUGGUUCCCAGCUGCUCCCUGUGUCCGUGCCGAACCAGCAUCCCAGAGACACAACAGGCACCUACAACACUCCAAGCAGAGGAUUUUUUCCCAACGGGAAGCGUGGAUUUCAAGGUGUGAGAGAUAUUUAUAUUUCCAGCGUGGAUCGACUCCAACCCUCCCCGCCCACGGCGCGUCCGACUGCAAUAAUUAAUUUAUGUCCGUCCCCACCUUGUCCCAGCCCAGCCGGCCGCGCUCUCCCGGCACGUCGCUGUAAAGUACUCGUGUACAGGAGUGAGAACUGCAGAUAUUUAUUAAAAGUGGGUUCCUGACAGUAUUUUAUGUACUAAAUAUUUACGCUGAGGGCAGGUGACUUCCUUUUGCCGAGGUCAAAUCAGGAGACGGAUUUAGAUGCUGUGUCAUAUGGAUAGAAUGGAAAUCAAAGCUGCUCAACUGCUGUAGAGAAAUUGUUGAUCUUAUUCGUUAAAAAAGGGUUUUUAUCGCAGGUCUCUCUCAUUUCUCAGCGGUCAUCGAAGUUUCACGUGCAAUUGCUGCUCUCCUGUAAAAAGUCCCCAGGAUCGAGCCAUUGAAUGCUGUGAGGGGACCGGGGCCCCAGACAACGUCCUGGGAGCCCUGUGGGUGCCUCGGAGGAAAUAAGGGUGGCACUGGCUGGCAGCAGAGGUUUCCAGCCCUGGGGCCUCCAGACAGGACGGGCACCCCAUGCAGGAGCACUAUAAAUGCACAAAGAAGUGACAGUAAAACAGACCUUCCACAUCCCGAUGCUUUCCCUGCUUUGACUCGUGGCAGCAUCCGGUUUUGGCAUUUUUGUUUCCUCUUUUUUAGCCGUUUCUGUCCCAGGCAGGACCUUUCCCGACUGGAAAUAAAGAUGAAAUAUUUUAACGGGAUUUUUCAAAAUGGAAGUUUUGCCAUUGGAGAGUGUGAGUUGCAGAGAAAUUGAGGGAGAGGAAGGAGACCAUCAAGUCUCACCUGG